rnacentral:rRNA from 1 species
UACGUAGGGUGCAAGCGUUAAUCGGAAUUACUGGGCGUAAAGCGUGCGCAGGCGGUGAUGUAAGACAGUUGUGAAAUCCCCGGGCUCAACCUGGGAACUGCAUCUGUGACUGCAUCGCUGGAGUGCGGCAGAGGGGGAUGGAAUUCCGCGUGUAGCAGUGAAAUGCGUAGAGAUGCGGAGGAACACCGAUGGCGAAGGCAGCCCCCCUGGGCUAACACUGACGCUGAGACGCGAAAGCGUGGGGAGCAAACAGG